UAUAAACUGUACAUAGAGUGAGACCCUGGACAGAGAUUUUCCUCUCCCUCCUGGAGGCUGAAUUGCCCUGCUGUUGCCAAGGAAUUUGGCCAUUUCAAUUCGUAUGUUGCAUUACAUCUAGGAGUAGCUCGCGUCUGUUUAAUGAGUGAAACUGCGACGUAAUUACGAAAUAAUCGCCUAUUAACAAUCAUUAGUAUUUCCUCUGUGUGCAGUAAAAUGCCUGCGAAUUGGUGGCGGCAGCAAAAUGGACGCUAUCUCGGUGAUGGUGGAGCAAUCCAAGCGAGGCCGUGUGGGAGGGAGUUUUAAGUGCAAGGGAAGACGAGGCGGCGUUGCUGUUGUUGCUACGCGUGAAGCAAGUGGAGUUGACAGCAGCGGCAGUGACAUGGGGCAGCGGCCAGUAGCAGCUGUAGAGAGUUACCACCGAAGGCCUACGAAGCAGAAGUGCCGAGGGCCUACAAGAACCUUCAUCCGGCCUUGCAGCUGGGAAGUUCUGUGACCUCCGAUGUGGCGGCGGCUGCGGUGGUUCCGCACGCACAGCCCGCGGAACGAAACGUUGAGGCCAUGCAUCAUGCGCUUGGAACCGGGACGAGGCUGGCUGGCGAUUUGCAUGGUAAAUCACGGCGGCGUUGUAUAUAGUUAAUCAGCGACCCACAAUGGCUGGCAGUGAACUCGUGAUUUCUCUCGGGUGCACACCUCUCCACCCCCUCCCCCCCCCCCCCGAUAUCUACCGAGGUGUAAAUGGGAGGCGUCCGUGCUGUGCCCUUGCAUUUGCAUGAAAUGUUUCUUCAUAUACCGCUCGCUGAACACAACGAAAUCCCCAAUAAUACUGUUACAAACUAUAAGCCAGCAUUCCGUGUUUUAGAAACUGUCACCUUUGUUACAAUGUAUUUUUAAAAUUACAUCACAAUAAAAAAUACAGCAUCUAAAUGCAGCCACAUCUCAAAAUGUUCUACAGGAAAUUGCAGGGAAUAUUUAUUUUAAAAUGAGAAAGAGGCAGUCAUUGGCAGCGGGAACAAAAAUUACGUCUCAAACCUCGACUUGAAAAGGGGCAGGGGAAUUAAAAGCAUGGACGUCUGGGCGAUUGUUCAUUAACACAAAGUCUGGAGCGCUGGAGCGGAGAGUGUGUGAUGAGUUAGAAUGAGAUGAGAGGGGAUAAGUAGUGACUGACGAGUCCAUGGAGGACCUCUAUAAUGAUGAGUGAGGUUUUGACAUUGAUCCAGGAGCGAUUUGGAUAUUGGAGUGAUAUAGUCUCAACUUACGAGUGUUGUGAGGAGUCUGGCGAUGGAAUUUUUGAUCAUUUGGAGUUUAAAGAUGAUGGUUUUAGGAAGGCUGUAGAGGAGACAGCUGCAACACGCAAGAAUGUUGAAUCAUACCAUGUGCGUAUGCUCGAUAAUAUGCCACGUGUGCGUAUGUAUGUUGAACUUAUUUCGCAUCGUAUGUAGCCAAUCGUGACAAUUGGAGGUGUAUCCUGGGCACAUGUCAAACCUCAUCGAGUAUACUUCACAUCGACAUCACCUUGAUAAUAGAGGCUAAUGGUUGUAUCAUUAUGUUAGGAAUUACCCUUUGGGAAUCGGGAAAUGCACCGAUAGCAAAUGCCUCUCAUAAAACAAUGGUUUGUGCAAUAUUCAUAUUGGAUUAUUUAUUUUGAAUGAUGAGUUAGUUAUAUUGCUUACAGAACAUUCAAUGUUUGUUUAGAGGCUCAAAAAGAGCAAAGCGAUGAUGCAUUAAUGAUGACACUCUAUAAACCAAUUAAUUUGUUGACAGUGUUACGUACUGCCUUACCUACCAGCAACAGGCGCUGAUUAUAGGUGUAAAUGAGAAAAUGAUGAGGUUGGUGUAGCUUCAAAUAGGGCUGCUAAUAAUUCCCUGCUGUAAAUGUGGUGUCAGGAGAGCAGUGCUCCCGCAAGGCAGCAUGGCCUGGCGUCUCCCCGUCCCAUCGAUCCCAAUAAUGAACCAGGUGCUGUCCUCCCAGGGAUUGCCGUCACAGCACCCAAGGCAUGCCCGCGUCAAUUAAGCUGAUGGGUUUUUUCAUGCCGACUUUUCAUAAUGUUUAUGCUUCGUGGGUGAAAAGGAGCAAAUGGCGUUGCCUGGAUACAUCUCGACCUCAAAGGCUGCCUUCAGUGCUAAUUCGUUUGCAGGUGUGAUCGCUCGUAACUACAUUUUUUUUAAAAUAACAAUAACGCUUGCGUGAUUUCCCAAGUUUCUAUUUGCAAACGGGUCGCUGUAUUUCAAUGGCCUCUCGUGCGGUUAAAUAAGUUGCCUUGGACCAGAAUUAGUGCGUGGUCGUGUUGCAUACUUUACAGUACCUUAUACGGAUUGAUAUUAAUACUCAGUGGCGUACAUUGUGUUUUGUAGUCAUUACGUUUGUAAUUUUCUCAUGUUCAGUACACUGUUGCCAUGCCUUAAAUUGUCUUAAUAUUGUUGUAACAGCAUUGGCAGGGAGAUCCCACCACCAGCACCACACACUGUGCCAGCGAUUUGCACAUCGCUGGCACAGUGUGUGGGGGUUGUUGCUGGGGCAGCAUGUCUGUGUUCAGUGGGCGAGGUGCUGGCCACCGAGCCCUCUCGUGCGCCGUGUCGGCCUUCAUAGGUGCUACUCGCUAACAGCACUUGCCCCCAACAGUCUGUUAGGGCUAUUACUGGUGAAUCUUUGUCUUUGUGCUCAGUGCUGGGAUAUGAGUU